rnacentral:rRNA from 1 species
UACAGAGGGUGCGAGCGUUAAUCGGAAUUACUGGGCGUAAAGCGCACGUAGUCGGCUUUGCAAGUCGGGUGUGAAAUCCCCGGGCUCAACCUGGGAACUGCAUCCGAGACUGCAUUGCUAGAGUAUGGGAGAGGGAAGCGGAAUUUCUGGUGUAGCAGUGAAAUGCGUAGAUAUCAGAAGGAACAUCAGUGGCGAAGGCGGCUUCCUGGACCAAUACUGACGAUCAUGCACGAAAGCGUGGGGAGCAAACAGG